rnacentral:misc_RNA from 1 species
GUUUUUAGAUAACAUCGUUACAGUUUCCGACUACAGUUUUGUGCAUCUUAGUUCAUCAAAAAUGCUUCAUAUAGACCUUUUGGCUCACUUGCACUUCGAGUAUAUUAUUUGGUAUUGGAAGGGCAAGUUAACAUAACAAACAUUUUGAAAAAUACAGAAAAAUUGCAUGUUUGAAUGGGGAGGAAACGUAGCUUCCACACAUAUGAAGCUUUACUGUUCGCUAAAACAUUUCCUUUUGUGAGGCAAGUAAGCAUCAGAAGGACAACUCUUAGGGAUUAUGACGUCAGUGCGAUGCGUCUCGAAGUGAACACGUUGCUUGGUACGAAAUUUUCUUGACAAGAAAUUUUGCUACGUGUCAUAAAACACAUACACCGUUAACUAUUUCAAUGUGGUAGUCAGAAAUAAAUUUACAGUUAGAUUUUGAAAUUCUCAAAAGCAUAGAAGUAUUCCUGACUUAAAAAACUACAGGUGAACAGCUGUUAAAUGACGAGCCAGAGAAGGUAGCACGUGAACAACCCAACUACAUGGCUCGCAUUCAAAGUGCUACAAAAUCACUGAUAAAAAACCCGGAAGAACUGAAUCUGCCAACAGUUAGUGUAGAGUUUGACAAUUCCUUGUCAUCUCUUAUUCCAAAACAUGGAGAAUUAUUGGAAGGCGAAAAUGGACUCGACGAUUGCUGUUGUUGUUUCUGUUGCUGUUGGUUGCGAGACAAAAUGGGAUUAAGUGGAAACUACCAGGACCAGAAAACCAAAGCUUACGAUGAGAAAGCAGUAAAACCAUAUUCAGCGCUUUAUAAAUUUCUUUACUUUUCGCUUAAAUAAUACUACUGAAUGCGUCGAGGUUUUACAAUGAGUGAACUUUUAUAAACCGUUCAGUGCUCGAAUUAUUUUGGCACGUAGCUACGUAUACACAGCAAUCGAUAGAAAUCUAGACUAUUGAAAAAUAUCUCUUAUCUGUUCAGGGUUUGAAGGCCUUUGGCCUGAAGUAGUGGAAGGUGUAAACGCUUGAUGUGUAUUCUUGUGCCCAUUUGGUUGUUAUAGUGACUUUAUUUAGAUGCAAAUCUAACGCUACGUCAUCACGGCACAAACCACUAAAUUUUAAUGUGGAAUUAAAAUAAAACAUCGGACAGUUGAAUAUUUAAUUGUAACAUGAACCGUUGAAAUAAAACCGAAA